UUUACGAGGUAAGCUACCAGAACUACUUCUUCUCCUUCCUCUUUAUUCACAAACCAACCAAUAAGCCUAAACUAACCAAAACUUUCUUCUCUUUCUUCGUGCAAAAACGUAGCAGAAACAACCAACAGAAAUGAAAAGGAAAGAUCGAUAAAUAUGGUUUAGUAAAAAGCUCUCUUUCUUUUUCUCAAGAAACUGCAAAAAGUUCAAAAACCAAGAUAUUCUAUCAAUCCUUACUUGUAACUUCAUUGCAAUUUGCAGCCAUGAAAACAGAGCGAAAAAUACCAAAGUCUUCGUGGACUAAAGUGGUUGUUAGGAAAUGGUUGAAUAUGAAAAACAAAUCGGAGGAAUUUUAUUCAGAUCAUAUAGUAGACGG